rfam:Bibersteinia trehalosi TSDA-ARS-TSMARC-192, complete genome.
UGAGUUGGUCAGACAAUCGCUGGUCUAUUGAAGCCCUAAACCGCCUGUUGCGAAACAGUUUGCGACCUAGUGGGACAAAUAGACGAGAGGAAAGUCCGGGCUACAUAGGGCAGAGUGCCGGAUAACGUCCGGGGGGCGCGAGCCUACGACUAGUGCAACAGAGAGCAGACCGCCAGCUUUGGCUGGUAAGGGUGAAAGGGUGCGGUAAGAGCGCACCGUGCCAGUGGUAACAUUUGGCAGCUAGGUAAACUCCACUCGUAGCAAGACCAAAUAGGAACUCAAUCGGUGGCCCGCCGAGAGUUCGGGUAGGUUGCUUGAGCUUGUGUGUAAAUGCAAGCCUAGAGGAAUGAUUGUCCACGACAGAACCCGGCUUAUCGACCAACUCACCUU